UACGUAGGGGGCUAGCGUUGUCCGGAAUCAUUGGGCGUAAAGAGCGUGUAGGCGGCCCGGUAAGUCCGCUGUAAAAGUCAAAGGCUCAACCUUUGAAUGUCAGUGGAUACUGCCGGGCUAGAGUCCGGAAGAGGCGAGUGGAACUCCUGGUGUAGCGGUGGAAUGCGCAGACAUCAGGAAGAACACCAAUGGCGAAGGCAGCUCGCUGGGACGGUACUGACGCUGAGACGCGAAAGCGUGGGGAGCGAACAGG
rnacentral:rRNA from 1 species